rnacentral:rRNA from 1 species
CUAGCGUUGUUCGGAAUUACUGGGCGUAAAGGGCGCGUAGGCGGUUUGACCAGUCAGGUGUGAAAUUCCCGGGCUUAACCUGGGGGCUGCACUUGAUACUGUCAGGCUUGAAUUCGGGAGAGGAUAGCGGAAUUCCCAGUGUAGAGGUGAAAUUCGUAGAUAUUGGGAAGAACACCGGUGGCGAAGGCGGCUAUCUGGACCGACAUUGACGCUGAGGCGCGAAAGCGUGGGGAGCAAACAGG